GACGAACGCUGGCGGCGUGCCUAACACAUGCAAGUCGAACGGGUGAGAGGAGCUUGCUCCUCGAUCUAGUGGCGAACGGGUGAGUAACGCGUGAGAAACCUGCCUUUCAGUGGGGGACAACAGUUGGAAACGACUGCUAAUACCGCAUAAUGUGCCGGGAGGGCAUCCUCCUGGUACCAAAGCUUUAUGUGCUGAAAGAUGGUCUCGCGUCUGAUUAGCUAGAUGGCGGGGUAACGGCCCACCAUGGCGACGAUCAGUAGCCGGUCUGAGAGGAUGAACGGCCACAUUGGGACUGAGAUACGGCCCAGACUCCUACGGGAGGCAGCAGUGGGGAAUAUUGGGCAAUGGGGGAAACCCUGACCGAGCAAUGCCGCGUGAGUGAAGACGGCCUCGG
rnacentral:rRNA from 1 species